AGGGACCACGUGCCUCCGGAGCAACCCGGAGGAAGCGAAAGAGAAUUGGACGACUUGAAGGGAGGCGGGGAAGGGGAGGCCGGGGUAGGAGUUGGUUUGCUCUUGUCGGGGCUGCCCCAGACCUCUGUGUUCCAGGAUUGCAGCAGAGUUAAGUACAUACUUCUUUGUCGGGUGCGCCCUCUCUUCUAGGGCAUUCCUUUCGCGCUCUAUUGGCUUUACAGGAAGUGGGAGCUGCGCCUCGGCUCAGUUCGCCGGGACACGCCUUCCCGUCCUCCCAGCCCCCAGCAGGCCCCAAACCAAACUCCAUUCCCAGGUUGGGGGGUUCCCGCUGUGUGAGGGCUGAGCCUCGGGGUUUGGACCGGCAGGGGUGACGUGCGUUCGGGAGUCGCAGCGGAAAGCGAGAAAGGCAGUGGGUGGAAAAGGGAAAGGAUGCAUUUGACAAAUCUGAUUCAUCUCUUCAGACCAAGUCCCCGCAACAGGAAAACAUAGUUCAUCAAGAAUUGGGAGACUUCAUUCAUUCCUCUUUAUUGCCAAGACUUUUCUGACUUCCAACUUAAGGAGCUUAGGAAAAAACAAGCAAAUAAACAAAAAACUACCUCUUUACUUGGACUGAAGUUCCUGAAUGCCCAUUUGCCAGACAUUCUGGUUUACGUCUACGAACCUCUGCCUCAGGGCCAUGCCCUCACAGUUACAGUCAGGAGUGCGGUCUCCUGCCACAUCCCGGUUGAUCUCCUGGAACCAUCUCUGGUACCAACAAAGAAGUUCAGUGUUCUCCAUGUUUAGGCACCCUAUUCAGAGUGGAUUCUUUCAAAACAACAAAAAAAGAAAAACCUAAUGGUGCUAAUGUACAAGUAGUUUCUGAAGCUGAAAAUAUUGGUGUUUUUUUAAAUUACUAAAAAAAAUUUUUUUAGCAAGAGAGAGAGCAUGUGCAUGUGAGAAUGGGGGAGAGGGGCAGAAGGAGAGAGAAAGAAUCCCAAGCGGUUUCUGUGUUCAGCACAGAGUCCAAUGCGGGACUCCAUCCCAUGACCCUGGGAUCAUGACCUGAGCCGAAAUCAAGAGUCGGACACUCAACCAACUGAGUGACCAGGCGCCCCUGAAAAUAUUAAGUGUUUUUGAUAUUUUAUUCUUUUCUCCUGGGUUCCAUGUUCAAACAGUGGCAACUUGUAUUGAAUAAAUAUAAUAUCUUUAUGGUGUCUCUCUCAUUUGCCUCCUUUCCAUUCUUUGCUCAUCCUCUGUCUUGUUCAAGACUGGUAAGAAUUGUUUUGUGUUCAUGAUGUCUCAGAGUUAGAAGAGAACACAAAUAUUAUCUUGUCCAACCCCCUAUUUUGUGCUUGAAUUCUCGUUUCAACAGUUUCAUCGUAUGCAACACAUUCAUCAAUGGGGAACUCAGUAUUUCUUGAAUCAUAGCCCAUUCAGUCUUCAUAGGAUAUCAUUACAAAGUUCUUUAUGUCAAACACAUGUGUAUAUAAUAUCACUUAAAAGAAAGUCAUUGUAAUAUUUAAGGUAGAAGCAGUUAAGUAUACAGAAAACAAAGGAAAAGUGCAUUAAAUAGAGCUAUUUUUUGCAUUUGUGAAAAUGAUAGAUUUCUAUCAACUGUAAUAGCUUAUACCUGUAUUAUGGGUCCUGUUUUGAAUUUUGAGAAUAGUAGUGCUAGGCAACCUGAUGAAAAUUCUCAAGAAUAUGAGUGAUUUUUAGUAGUUUCAAUAAAGACAGAACUGAUACCCUAAAACAGAUGACUACCUUGGAUAAUUACACAUAAGGAGGACUCUCAUGUAUUUAUUAGUGGUUUUUAUCCAUUACUGAGCAUAGAUUAUAUGUGACGUAUAGUACCAUAUAUACACAUAUAAUUCAGGAAGAUGAAUUAAAAAAUAUAAGAUUGAAGACUUUUAAGUACAGAAAUUAGUCUUGAAAUUCACAACUCAUAGGAUUUAUCAGCUUUCUACUUACAGUUCUGUCAUUAUCUUAUACAACACCCUGAAGUCUUGGAGAACUCAAAUAGCUUCAACACAUUCUCCAGAUGCCUAUGAAGUCAAAGGUCUGUAGCUCCUGGUGUGUUAGACUUUGACCUCUGAUUACCGUAUGAUGGACUGCAGAAAAAUAUUUAACAACAAAUCUUUUAAUGUUUUUCUCACCCUUUCCCUAUUUGGUUGAAUCCUGGAAACCUUUGUCCUCUCACGUAUAUGUACUUACCCCAGCAUCAUCAGAGGCCCUGUUAAAAGUUUUUGUCUUUAAUGAAAAUCAGAGUCUGGUAAGAUUAAACCAUCUUAUUUAGAGCCCAUUAGAUAUUAGAAUGUCUUGUUCUCUUGUAUUUUGGCUUUAACCCUAAGAUCUGCCUAAUCAAACCUUGAUAUUCUACAUGGCAGAACAUAAGCUGCCACGCUGAUCCCAAAUUAGACCUCUUGGUUUUUAGUUCUACUUAUAAAUAGAAGCAUCAGAGGAAGCAUUUAACUUGUGGACAUAUGAAGUCAACUAAUAACUAGUAAUAUUAUUUGGUUAAUUCAAGGAGAUCACAGAACCAUUUAGAGCUGUAGAAAAAUAUCCAUACAUGGGUGGCCCAGUAGAGCUAUUUAAUUCCUAGAAAUCAGAAAUUUCUGUUAUAUUUUUAUUCCCAUUUUUUUCUUAUACUUCUACUUCACACAUGAAAAAAGGAAAGAAAUUACCUAUCACUUAUCUGUCCUGAUAGUCAUUAUCAUAGAACCUCAUUAAAAGUAAUUAAAAUGUGCCACAGAAUUCUCUUUGGAGGGCUGCACAUCUCUGUUGAAUUUCUGCUAGUCCUCUGGAAGGCACUCUUGUGGCAUGCGAAGUGAUCCAAGGGGUACACCGGCACAUUGUUAAUCUCAGCACCCUUAAUGUGUUAGCUCUUUUUAGGAAUAAUUUAAACACACCUUGGAUUGCCCUUAUCACAAAGUACUGCUCUUAUUACAGUACCCAAAAUAACAACAGGAGGGGGGUGGGGCAGAGAUAGACAAUGUGUAUAUCUCUAACCACCUAUCCAUAUAUUACCACACUGUAGUGUAUGUCUUAGUGUAUAUCAUAUGGUGUAAUGGAUAGAACAGUGUAGCAUAUAUCUAAGUGGAAAGCAUAGCAUAUAGCCAGGGUCAGCUUCAAGGGCACAUCGCUUAUAGAGUCUCACAGGGCCCUGCACUUAGAAGGGCCCCAUACCUGGUUGAAUGCUCAGCUGUCACCAUCUUGAAAUUUUUUAUUUUUUUAACAAGAGGCUCCACAUUUUCAUUUUGCUCUGGGCUUUGCAAAUUAUGUAGUCUGCCAUGGAUAAUGAAGUGUAUAUUCUUCUAAAUACCUACCUACCCACAAUUCAUUUUAGCAUGUAUUCCUUCAAUCUAAAAAGUAAAAAGACCUAUAAAAUAUUUCUAUUUCAAAUGUAAAUAAGUAAUGUAAAUAUACAUAGGAAAAUACAUACUAGUUUUGUUUUUCAUUUAAUAUAUUAUGGAUGUACUGAAGAAUACUUUUUUGUAUGUAUCAAUCAUAAUUUAUUUAACUUCCUACUGAUGGACACAUAUAUCUCCUGUUCUUUGCAAUGACAGAGUGAACAUCCUUGAGUAUACAUCUUUGCUCACUUGCCCACUAUUUACCUAGGAUAGACUUCUAAAAGUAGAACUGCUGAGUCAAAGGGCAAGGGCUUUUUUUCCUUUUGAGGAGAGAGUGGGAGAAGGGCAGAGAGAGAGGGAGACAGAGAAUACCAAGCAAGCUCUAGGCUCUGAGCUGUCAGCACAGAGCCUGAUGUGGGGCUCGAACUCACAAACCUGAGAUCAUGACCUGAGCCCAAGUUGAACACUUAACCAUCUGAGUGGUGCCCCACCCCACCCCCACUGCCAAGGGGUAGGAACAUUUAAAAUGUGAUACAUACUACCUGAUUGUUCCUCAAAAGAUUGCACUAGUUUAUACCAAUCUAAAUCCCACCCACAGAUUACAAGCAGAUGCUCAUGAUUGCCCCACAUGCUAGCAUAAUAAUUUAGAUUCACCUCUGCCAAUCUGAUAGUGCUGGUAUUUCUAAUGGCAUUAACCUGAAUGAUUAGCUCACUAGGAUUUCAUUGAUUGUGCUAAUAUGGAAUGGAAGUUUACCUAUCAAAGUGAGUACCUUUAGGUAGGGAGAGAUUUUGUAGAGGUCUCCUAGCCAAAUAUUUGAGGCACUCUAAGCUCCCACCUUUUCUUUCAAAAUAAGGAUUUUGUGUUCUGAGUGUAACAUUCAAGGAUGUUGUAAGUGCUCAAAUAAACCCUUAGGAUGUUGACCUUGCUAUCUUUCUGCUCUAAAUCUCCCCAACUUUUAAAA